UUCUGAAAAAGGCUAACCCGCUCAUCCCGUAUAGGAUGAGUUCGCUUGAGUUUUGCGGAGAGUAAUCCGGGAGCGCAAAGCCACAAAUCCUGGGCCUUCGAAUGGGGGUUUAGGAUAGUUGGGCUGCCAAA
rnacentral:ncRNA from 1 species